AGGAAAGAGAGAGAGAUAAAUCUGCAUUAUUCCUCCAGAAGCGGGACUGAGGCAGGAGUCCGCGAUAGAGGAACCACCUGCAGACCGCAGCCGCUCUCAUUCUCAGCAACGCCUCAAUAUGUUACGGAUUUGACUCAUACUGUAAACGACAGAUUAUUUCCUUCACACAGUGGCUGAACACACACUGUCGAGGAGAUGCAACAGUUGAAGAAUUUAUCGAUUUGUCUCAUAGCCCUCUUAUUAGGGAUGACAACUGGAGGCUCUCCAAGUGUUCAAAUCGGAGGCUUGUUUCCGAGGGGAGCCGAUCAGGAGUACAGCGCGUUUCGGAUCGGAAUGGUUCAGUUCGGAACGGCUGAAUUUAGACUGACGCCUCACAUCGAUAAUCUGGAAGUAGCAAACAGUUUCGCUGUAACUAACUGCUUCUGUUCUCAGUUCUCAAGGGGAGUUUAUGCUAUCUUUGGAUUUUACGACAAGAAGUCAGUGAACACAAUAACGUCGUUCUGUGGGACACUUCACGUCUCCUUCAUCACGCCCAGCUUUCCCCUGGAUGGAAAUCAGCAGUUUAUUAUUCAGAUGCGACCAGACAUCAAAGGGCCUCUCCUGAGUCUCAUCGAGUACUACAAAUGGGACAAGUUUGCCUACCUGUAUGACAGUGACCGAGGACUUACCACACUCCAAGUUGUGCUGGACACAGCAGCAGAGAAGAAAUGGCAGGUGACCGCCAUCAACGUGGGCAACAUGAAGGAUGAGAGAAAGGAUGAAGCAUAUCGCUCACUCUUUCAAGACCUGGAAAACAAGAAGGAGCGGAGGGUCAUUCUAGAUUGUGAGCAGGACAAAGUUAAAGACAUCAUGGAACAGGUCAUUACUAUUGGCAGGCAUGUGAAGGGAUAUCACUACAUCAUAGCAAACCUGGGUUUUGUGGAUGGAGAUCUUUCUAAAAUCCAGUAUGGUGGAGCGAAUGUGUCAGGCUUUCAGAUUGUGGAUUUUGAUGACCCUCUGGUGUCCAAAUUUGACCAGCGCUGGGAAGCUCUGGAGGAAAAAGAAUAUCCUGGAGCAGACAGCAAGAUACGGUACACUUCAGCACUGACGUAUGACGCAGUUCAGGUGAUGACUGAGGCUUUCCGUUACCUGCACAAACAGAGAAUUGACAUCUCUCGUAGAGCGAACAAUGGAGACUGCCUGGCCAAUCCUGCUGUUCCAUGGGCGCAAGGGGUGGAGAUAGAACGUGCCCUAAAACAGGUGAGAGUUGAUGGUCUCACUGGUAACAUUCAGUUUGACCAGUAUGGAAAGAGAGUGAAUUACACCGUCAAUGUCAUGGAAUUGAAAAGCAACGGAGCAGUUAAGAUUGGCUAUUGGAACGAAGUGGAUAAAAUGGUCGUCACAAAAUCAGAUCUCUUCCCAAAUGACACAAUGGGGCUUGAAAACAAGACUGUGAUCGUCACCACCAUUCUAGAAGCCCCAUAUGUAAUGUUAAAGAAGAAUGCUGACCUUUUUAUGGAUAAUGAAAGAUAUGAGGGGUAUUGUGUGGACCUGGCAGCUGAAAUAGCAAAGCACUGUGGAUUUAAAUAUCAGCUGAAAAUAGUAGGCGAUGGCAAAUAUGGAGCUAGAGAUGCAGAGACGAAGAUCUGGAAUGGAAUGGUUGGAGAAUUGGUUUAUGGGAAAGCUGACAUCGCAGUGGCUCCACUGACUAUCACUUUAGUCCGAGAAGAAGUUAUCGACUUCUCAAAGCCGUUCAUGAGUUUGGGCAUCUCCAUCAUGAUCAAGAAGCCUCAGAAGUCCAAGCCUGGUGUUUUCUCAUUCCUGGAUCCACUGGCUUAUGAGAUCUGGAUGUGUAUUGUGUUCGCUUACAUCGGUGUAAGUGUGGUGCUUUUCCUGGUCAGUCGUUUCAGUCCAUAUGAGUGGCACACAGAGGAAUAUGAGGAUGGACAGAUCCAGACCAACGAGUCGACCAAUGAGUUUGGGAUCUUCAACAGUCUUUGGUUCUCUCUUGGAGCUUUUAUGAGACAAGGAUGUGAUAUUUCACCCAGGUCUCUUUCUGGCCGCAUAGUUGGAGGAGUCUGGUGGUUUUUCACCCUGAUCAUCAUUUCUUCCUACACGGCUAACUUGGCUGCCUUCCUAACAGUGGAGAGGAUGGUGUCUCCAAUUGAGAGUGCUGAGGACUUGGCAAAGCAAACAGAGAUUGCUUAUGGAACAUUAGAUUCUGGUUCAACAAAAGAGUUUUUCAGACGUUCUAAAAUUGCACUUUUCGACAAGAUGUGGACUUACAUGAAAGGUGCAGAGCCCUCUGUAUUUGUUAAGACGACGGCAGAAGGUGUCAUGCGAGUGAGGAAGUCCAAGGGGAAGUAUGCAUACCUACUGGAGUCCACCAUGAACGAGUAUAUCGAGCAGCGCAAACCCUGCGACACUAUGAAGGUCGGAGGGAACCUGGACUCCAAAGGCUACGGCAUCGCCACCCCCAAAGGAUCCUCAUUAAGAACGCCAGUAAACCUUGCAGUAUUGAAACUCAGUGAGCAAGGCACCUUAGACAAGCUGAAAAACAAAUGGUGGUACGAUAAAGGUGAAUGUGGAGCCAAGGACUCUGGAAGUAAGGUUAGUCGCUGCAGGUUCUAUGUGAUCAAGCACACUUUUGACUAGUGGGAAUUACCCAAUUUAAAUAAUAAUGACUAAAAAAACAACUAUUUUAGACAGACAAUGCACAGAUAAGCAUGAGAUGCCUUGGUGAGAUUAUUUGACUAAUGCCUGCAGAGCUACUAAUAUUUGGUACCAUCCACUGAUAGUUAAAAAGUAAUGCAUGCCACUUUUGUCAAUCAUGUGCACUUUUUGUAAUCUCUGUAACACAACCAGUGGUCUCCUUUCAGCUUCUCAAUCUGAGAAUCACAGAUCCUGCUAUUACUUGCAGACCUGUGCCAAGUUUAGAAUAGCAGUUCUCAGACAUUCAUAUCCAGCACAUACAACGAAAGACUUCCAAUUGUUCAUUAUUUCUCUCAGGUUACUCGUAGGACCAUCUACAAGGGUGUCCAAGAUUUUUAAAUGUCUUUGUUUCAUUGUGUGUUAAGCUGUUUGGUUGUGUGUUGUCAACUGUGUUAUCGUGGUAUGGUGUGCUUUUUUAAAUGAUUUAAUUGAAAUGUUUUUUUUUUUUAUGUAUGUACUGUACGUAAAACCUGAUACAUCAUGCUUUGCCAUGUUUGCACUUUUAUAAUACAACAAAAAUGAGUAUUUACUGUAAUACAACACUCUCAGAAAUACUUUCAGUAAUAGUCAAAGCAUCACCUUUCACUUCCACUUUCAAGUCCAUUCACUCAGCGCCAACACUGCAUAGUGUUUGCAAUGCCUCUAGGCUCCUAUUUUAAGCAUGCAAGACCAAUACUAAGUUUGUUGGAUUACCUAUAAAAUUAUGGAAAUUGAAAUCAGCAGCAAAAUCUGACAUGAUUGUCUGUCAUUCAAAUUGUUCAGCUAUUAUUUUAAGGAGAACCAGUUGAUUGGCAUGGGUAGCUCCUAAUGGAUGAUUGGCUCCUUUACUGAGAAGGACUUAUUCCUCAAUGUUACACAUUCUUCCCCUUCAAAGUUUUGUGAGUAGACUGUUCUUGUAAUUCUAUAGACUUCAGUUCAGUCUUGUGUUCUAGGUUUGUUUAGCAAAAUCAUCUGCUGUUGUCUAUUGAGAUGUACAGUAGAUAUUAGAUGCAUAAAACUAGAUUAGCAGGUGAACAGUCAACUUAGGGUGCUUCCACACCUGGCUAAUUUUGUUCAGGUAAAACGUACCCGAGUUUGUUUGCCUUUUUGAUGAAGUUUGCUUGGGCAGGUGCCAAACGUACUCAGGUGCACACCAAAAGUGGACCGAAAAAAGAGCACUGAGACUUGCUCAAAGACGUGGUCUCGGUACGCUUACAAGCGAACUCUGGAGCAGUUAAUUUGUGGUGAGAACUUGAACCGACCGAACUGACCCAAAUGCAAAAGGUACUUUGCUUUUUUGGACUAAACCAGCUGCGACAUGCAUUCUGGCAUUAGAAAAUGUGUUUUGACACUUUACCGCUAUUAUGGCAGGUGUUGUUCAAAUGUGGAGUUGUGAGGAGGUCCACACUGCCUGCUGACUUUUCCUCCUCUCUCUCCUCUACCUGUUGCACUCAUGAAUUUUCUGCGUGUUAAUUCUGAGAAAUCAAAAUGGAGUUUAAAAAGUUUGGCUAGCCAAUGACUCAUUUUUUGGUUCAUUUUAACUGAUUUGGUUCAAAGAAGACGUUGUGAGGAGGUCCAUACUGCCUCCUGACUUUUCCUCCACUGUUUGCUUACAUCUGUAUGUUGAGCAUGUGAGUUUCCCACGUAUUAAUUCUGAGCAAUCAAAAUGGAGUUCUAGAAAAUUUGUCUAGCCAACGACUAGUUUUUGGAUUCUUUUUAACUGAUUUGGUUCAAAGCAGACAUUGUGAGGAGGUCUAAACUACCUGCUGACUUUUCCCCCGCUCUAUCCUCUAUGUGUUGUGUAUCUAAGUUUCUCGCAUGUUAAUUCUGAGCAAUCAAAAUGAAGUUCUGAAAAUUCGUCUAGCCAACGACUUUUUUUUUGUUGUUCAUUUGAACUGAUUUGGUUCAAAGAAGACGUUGUGAGGAGGUCCAUACUGCAUGCUGGCUUUACCUCCGCAAUUUGCUUACUACUACGUGUUGCGUAUGUGAGUUUCUCGCAUGUUAAUUCUGAGCAAUCAAAAUGGAGUUCAGAAAACAACUUUUUUGGGUUCAUUCUAAAUGAUUUGGUUCAAAGCAGACGAUCUAGAGUGAAACAGAACCAAAAUGGCAAUAAAAUGCCAUAAUGUAUAAUUUUUAAACUUGGUUUUAACCUUGCUAAAGAUAGCUGGAGCAAAAGAAACAUAUUACAGGUGUGACAGCACCCUUAAACUUGAGUGUUCGUGGACAGACUUUGACUGUUCCAAUAUGGCAGGCAGCUUGCAUACAGAAACAACCACCAGUGAGGCAUCUGUAUGUAUAUUUAUUCCACAGACAAUAUUAAAUUAGUUUAAUUCAACUUUACAUCAAAUUUUGAGUUUGUAAGUUUUACUUUUACCUCAUUUGACACAAAGCAUUUAUUUAUUUAUUUGCUAACAUCAAAAUAUGCUUAAAGCUCAAUUAAUAUUAUAAUUUAAAAAGUGAACUUGUUAAUUAUUUAAAGUUUUAUAUAUUUUUUACAUUACACAUCACAACUUUACAGUACAAAAAUAAUUACUAUCACAAAAAAUCAUUCUGUAUCCGUCUAUGUGUCUGUGUUUUCUACGUGGUCAUGUUGUGCACAGUACAGUACACUAAUAUUUGCAAAGAAUAUCUAAAUAACAGCCCCUCUCCCUCAGAGACCUUUCUGUAGGUGUGUAUAUGUGUGUUAAUCUCCUGCCUUUUACCCACAAUGCCUGUCAUCUGCUUCCCCCCUGUGUCUAAUGCUAUGCCCUCCAUCCAGAUGCCUCUCUUGAGCAUCCCUUUAAAUGGUCCUGUAGGCUCUGACACAAGUGUAAUUCAUAUCACAGCUAAGCAUAGCACAUUAACCCCUGCUAUAAAUGUGAAUUCAACAAAGAGAAUAUUUACUACAGCCAUUAGCACGAGGAAAUGUAAGAAGUGUGAUUUAAAAGCGCUUUGUUGCUUUGGUAGCCAUCUCUCAAGAGAAUGUUAAAGGCUUUAGUAAAUCCAUCCCAUUCGAGCAGAAUUGCUCAAUGCCCCCCCAUUGCAUUGCUUCAAGGGCACAUUAACCAGCAGCUGCAGCAGCACAGUUAUUGUUUAAACAUUACUGUCCUGAGCUGUGCAUUUGUAUCCACAUAGACGUAAAAUUGCCACUUAAAUAUUCUGUUAUUUCUACAUUUGAAUGUUUAAUACUGAGAUGGUGUGCUUUCCCCGAGCGCUGACCCGUGUCUCGUGUGCAUUUUCAGGAGAAGACCAGCGCGCUCAGCCUGAGCAAUGUGGCUGGCGUCUUCUACAUCCUUGUGGGCGGCCUGGGCUUGGCCAUGCUGGUGGCCCUGGUCGAGUUCUGUUACAAGUCCCGAGCCGAGGCCAAGCGCAUGAAGGUGACCUUUUCGGAUGCUAUGAGGAGCAAAGCGAGACUGUCUGUUACUGGGAGUACUGGCGAGAACGGACGUGUGAUGAGUCCUGAAUUCCCCAAAGCCGUACAUGCAGUGCCCUUUGUUAGACCUGGUGUGGGAAUGAACGUCAGUCUGACUGAUCUCUCCUGAUGGAUAAGAACCUGCCGAGUGCCUUACACAAUGGUUUUCAAUAGAGCGCGUUCUAUUCUCUUUCCUGUCGCUCUCUCCCUUAUCAUCACUCGUCUGAAUGGAGGAUGGAGGCCUCAUUUGAUGUCAUACAGACAUAAUCCUUCCUUGGCCCUUUAUAACAAAAGAUGCACUCUCUAGUAUCGGAAAAGACACUCGCUUACCGAGCUGAUAUCCCCCCCGCCCCGUAACGGAUAUUUUCCACAACAAACUUGAAACUCACAGAAGCUCUGAGCGGGAAAGAGAGAGGUCAAUAAAGUCUGUCUGUUUUCGUAGCUGACGCCAUCUGAUGUCUAUUUCGGCUCAAGCACACUUUAUCAUCAUCUGCUUCAGGAUGUGAAAUGUCUUUUUAUUAAUAAAAGCGACGGAAAAUAAACUGUAUUUUUAUGUAUUUUCACAGAAAUGGCUUUUAAAUAAACCUGCUUACAUGUCAAUUAAACCUGUAAACAUACUUUUAAGAGCUUAGCUACUAGUUUCACAUUUCAAUGCCAAAUAUGUUGCUUCUCUUGUAAUUUAUUAGUCCUCUUCUGAUAUACUCAUUAACAUUUUGGUGUUAAUACGAACUAUCUAGCAAUGCUUGACAUUUGAAACAUAUUUGAAAAAGUGGGUGCCGCGGUUACGUUUUCUUACUUUCAUCUACUUGUUUGGUUUCAAGAAUCUGUUUGUAAUUUUUGUUUAUAUCAAGAAAAUCAGGGUAGCGGUUAUAAUAUGUUUAAAAAAAUGAAAAGAACAGAAAAAGUGUUUACAAUGUGAACAUAAAAAAGAAAAAAAACGUACCUAUUGUAUUAUUAUUGCAUAUGUUUUGCUGUGAGAUGAAUAGAAGCAUACACAUCAACAAACUGCUCUGUUAAAAAAUGCCAAAUAAUUAAGUGUGCCAAAAUUAUUGAUAAAUAUAGUCAUAUAUUAAUCUGUCAUCAAUGUGAAUGUAGUCGAUACAUUCUGUAAGUUUUGUUACUAAAUGUACAGUUGGAUGGUAUACACAGUGAUUUAUUGAGGAUCUUUUAUUUAUUUUUUUGUUUGUUUUGUUGGCUUUUCUAAAAUGUUCACUCUGUAACUUAAAUCUGGUUUCCAAACAUCUGGUUUUAAUAUAUUAUUUUAUAAAAGAUAUCUGCCAAUAUACUUACUCAAGGUUAUUUAAGAUACCUACUGCACCACAAUAUUAUAUAUUUUGUUUGGUAACAGUGUUAUUUCCUAUAUAAGCAAUGGCAACUGUAAGAGUUCACAUUAGAGAUUGCAAUAAGCCAAGAUUAAAAACAAAAGCAAACAAAGAUGUCCCCGAUUCAACAGUUGUGUGCAUCUUCGUAUAAUUUCUUUCUCCUCUCUUCUCUCUCAGUCUUUCACACUAGACUGAGGGGCAAAUACUGGAUAACACUUCUCAUUUUGUCAUGACAUACAUGAUAUUUAGUUGAACAUGUAAUUUUAAAGACCGCUCUCUGCCAUUUUGUAAAUGAAUGUGUGCCAACUUGUUUAUUUUUUGGGAUUCUUUCUAAAUAAAAGCUGACUAAUAGUCUU